UGGGGAAUUUUGGACAAUGGGGCGAAAGCCUGAUCCAGCAAUGCCGCGUGUGUGAAGAAGGCCUUCGGGUUGUAAAGCACUUUUGUCCGGAAAGAAAUCCUUGGCUCUAAUACAGUCGGGGGAUGACGGUACCGGAAGAAUAAGCACCGGCUAACUACGUGCCAGCAGCCGCGGUAAUACGUAGGGUGCAAGCGUUAAUCGGGAAUUACUGGGCGUAAAGCGUGCGCAGGCGGUUUGCUAAGACCGAUGUGAAAUCCCCGGGCUCAACCUGGGAACUGCAUUGGUGACUGGCAGGCUAGAGUAUGGCAGAGGGGGGUAGAAUUCCACGUGUAGCAGUGAAAUGCGUAGAGAUGUGGAGGAAUACCGAUGGCGAAGGCAGCCCCC
rnacentral:rRNA from 1 species